UUGAAACAAUAUAUAUGAAAAGAAAACACAGAAAUCCUCCGUAAAGCUUUAGCCCUUUCAUUACAUCUUCAGAAGCUUUACAAAAAUGUAUACAUAGCAGUAUCAUAGUAACAGUGAUUAUGACGUCAAAGUAAGCAGAACGUUAAAUGUUUAUAUAGGGGCUGUAAGAUCGCAAACGAGAUGACGCGAGAUUUGAGUAUUUCCAGUGACAAACAAACCUUUACGGUUUGCAUGAAAUCAUGCAAGUUGGAAAUAUCCUGCAGUUUUUAUCGUUGUUUUUGGACGAUGGAAAGAAUUGGACGUUAUGGGGAAAGUUUUGCAGGUUAGAUGCCAUUGAAACCAGUCUCUUGAAAUAUUCCCGGACACCUUGAUGACAUACAGUUCCUGUAAGUGCUGACUUACUGUCAAAGCAGUGACUUGUGUAACACCUAAUGGUGCAAUCACUUAUUUUUCAACUUUGAAUACAGGAUCAACAUGUGCUCCACAGCAGAAGUCCCGCAAAACCCACGACUGGAAUUAAGCACUUUUUUUUUUUUUAAAUUUUUUUUUUUUUUUUUUUUUUUAGAUUUGAUAUAAUUUUCUUCAUUUAUUAUUUUUUGCAAAUCAUUUAUGAAUAAAAUAAAACGUAUGUGUCAAAUAGUUUAGUAUAAAUAAAAAUGCACUACUGAU